GGCCCGAUAGCUCAGUGGAUAGAGCAACUGCCUUCUAAGCCGUAGGCCGAGAGUUCGAAUCUCCCUCGGGUCACCA
rnacentral:tRNA from 1 species